rnacentral:rRNA from 1 species
UAGGGAAUAUUGCAAAAUGGGCGAAAGCCCGAUGCAGCAACGCCGCGUGGGCGAUGAAGGCCUUCGGGUCGUAAAGCCCUUUUUGAGGGGAUGAGGAAGGACAGUACCCUCAGAAUAAGCCUUGGCUAACUACGUGCCAGCAGCCGCGGUAAAACGUAGGAGGCGAGCGUUAUCCGGAUUUACUGGGCGUAAAGCGCGUGCAGGCGGAUUGGAGAGUUGGAUGUGAAAGCUCCCGGCUUAACUGGGAGAGGUCGUUCAAUACUUCCAGUCUUGAGUGCAGUAGAGGGAAGUGGAAUUCCGGGUGUAGUGGUGAAAUGCGUAGAUAUCCGGAGGGACACCAGUGGCGAAAGCGGCUUCCUGGACUGUAACUGACGCUCAGACGCGAAAGCUAGGGUAGCAAACG